GGGAAUGUACUAGAAGAGGAGAUGAAAUGUCUCUGUCAUGGAUCAGGACAGAAUAUCAAAGAUGGCAACAUUUCUGUAGGAGAGGAUGAGGAAAGCAGCCAGGUAGACAAAGCAACAAGAGAGGACACUUCCUCACUACGUUUGCACAAUGAGGACAACAGUGAGAGGGUGAGGAAAGAACUGCUUUAUAACUAGAAUCCUUCAUCUCACUUAAAAGUGAAGAUAUAUUUUCUACAGAUAAUUUACAAAGGACAAAGUUAACUGAUGUGUUAAGAGACUGGACAGGUCCUACACUGCUGGCCAUAUCUUACCCUGCAGAAGUACUGGAUAUUGUUAUAUACUGCAACGCAAAACUUUAUUUUAACUUCUUCAUCACUUGAGCAGCAUAUGUAUGUGUAUCUGUCUAGAUAGAUAGCAGACAGACCAAUGAACAUAUUAACGACAUUUCAUCAGGUGUCACAGUGUGUUGAAAGAAAAUUUAUCUCCUGCAGGUCAUCACUAAUACCAUCGCAGUGAGGAGUAUGUAAUAACUUUUAGUUGUCAAUAGUGUAAUAGCAGAGGUGUUUACCAUGUAGACGAUCUAUUACAUUUUUAUGGGGCUGUCUGGGAAAUUUUAUAGGACUGAAUAUAAUCCAGGUUGCUAAAUUACAUGAAGCUGGUGUGAGUGAACAAUUUUAUGUUCAAAUAGACUUAAAGAAAACACAUUAUUAACAAACAUAUUAAAACAACUUUCAUUAGUGAAGAUAUCAGUAGCCAACAUAAAUUAUCUGACUAAUCUUUCCUUUAA
rnacentral:lncRNA from 1 species